ensembl:lncRNA
CAGGGAACAAUGCAUCACAUUAGAAGGAUAUCCAGACACAAUGUCACUUCAUUAGUCAAAUCAGGAAUCAGGAAACAUUUAUUGCCAAAAUAUGUCAAACAUACAAGGAAUUUGUCUUGGCGGUUGGUGCGUGACAGUAGACAGUGUAACAAUAGACAACAAGACAGCACUGCACAAGUAAUAAAAUGAAAUGCUAAUGCAAUGGUUUAGUAGAAUAAGGCUAUGGGUUAGUAUAAAACAAGAGAAUAAAGUUAAAGUUAAAAAUUUUAAUAUUUAAAAAGUUAAAAAAUAUUAAACAUAAAGUGCACUAUCGAACAAAGGCACUCAGAGUGAAAUGUUGCCCAUAAAACUGGCGAUCUAGUCUGCAUUGCAAUACAAGAAGGAAAAUACAAGUGAUGUUUUAUUUAGUAAAAUACUGCAUCAUUCACCUUGGAAUAUUAGUGUAUUAUUGUCAUUCAUAAUUUAAAGUUAAGAACAGUUACAAACAGCAAAUGUUAUUUUGUGUCUUCUUGCUUUUAGAUUUGUCACACUCGUACACAUAAACAAAAUGGAGACAUCCUGCAUAGCUGUAAAUAGCUGUGGUGUAUCAGCCUUUGCUACCAUGAUUCAUCAAGUAUUUAAUAGAUGAUGCUUCUUCUUUGUUUGAACAAUCUAAAGACUUCGUGAAAACAACCUUAUGGAGCCAAAAACUAAUAUCGCAACUCCAGAGACUCCUGGAGAACAGCUCUAUGUGAAAGCCGAGAAAUGCAAGUUCCACGCUUGUUCAGUCGCUUUUCUGGGGUACAUUUUUGCUAGUGGGCAGGUAAGGGCUGACCCAGAGAAGAACAAGGCUGUGACAAACUGGCCCAGACCCCACAACCGGAAUUACAGCGGUUCCUGGGGUUCGCUAAUUUCUAUCGUCGGUUCAUCAGAGACUACAGCAAGAUAGCGGCUCCGUUAACCAAACUCACCUCCAUCCCUUUCACGUGGACCCCCAAGGCUAAGAGCUAAGAAGGAGCUUCACCUCACCACCCAUCCUGCUCUACGGUGUGUAACCGCCGCCAAUCACACUGCCUGGAGCGCACAACUCGCAUGGAUUGAAUACGCCCAUAAUUCCCUGACCAGCACUGCCAGAGGUUUGUCUCAGCCGCCCCUGUUUCCCUCUCUAGAGGGUGACAUAGCUGUCCCAUCAGUUCAAAUGCACCUCCGCCGCUGCCAUAAGGUCUGGGGAUACACCCGCUCUGCCCUACUCCGCUCAGCUGAAAACAACCAGCGCAUUGCAAACCGCCACCGGACACCAGCUUCUGCAUACAAACCAGGUCAGAAACUAUGGCUUUCCUCCAAACAUAUUCCAAUAAAGACUGAAUCAGAGAAACUGGCACAACGUUAC